rnacentral:lncRNA from 1 species
UACGCGAAGAAAAUCCCAGAAGCUAUCAGUUGCAUUUGAGCAGUCCCACCAAUACAACCACAUCAAAGCCACCAUGUUCAAAUUGUUCGUAUUCGUCGCCAUCUUGGCUGUAGCCUUCGCUCUGCCCGCCCCUGAGGCCAAAGCUGAGCCCAAACCAGCUGCAAAGCCUGGACAGCUUCUCUACAGUUCGCCCCUCGUAGCAGCCGCCGCCCCUCUUGCCUACUCUGGAGCCUACAGCGCCCCCUUGACCUACGCCGCCGCCCCUCUCGCCUACAGCGCAUACCCAGCCUAUGCUCCCUAUUCCGCUUAUUCUUCCCCUUACGUUGCCGUUUUGUAAAUUCUAUCCAGGACAGUUUGAGGAUGUAAAUCAAUGUUUGGAGCGCUUCUUUUGAAAUUUUUUUUUGUAAAUAAAUAUUGAAUUUGAUUGAA